GUCGCUUUCGAGAUAAGGUAAGGAAAACCACCAUCGUUGCCUUCUCCUUUCGCAAAGGUGUGCCCUUUCCGAGGCGAUAAUAAAAGCUAGAAAUGACUUCCGCGUUCUCUCACACACCUGAGGGGCCACUUUUUGGCUGUUCAGUUUGGCUGCUGAGCUGGUGGUUUAUUUAUGAUUAUCCAUUGUACAUGCUGGUGGUCUUGGUCCCCAUGGUAUGAGGGUGGGCUGCCUUGCUUGCUUUAUCCGGGCCCUUUCCGUCCUAGCUAUGCCCGUUCGCUUGAAAAGCUGUCAUUUAAAAGGAACAGGGAGGAGGUUGCAGGUGAGCAGAAAACUGCGUGGCACGUGCCAAACCUGAAUGAAAAACCCAUUUCCUAACUUCCAUGCAGAAGCUGCCUGUUGAGAAAAAUCAUUCUUUUUCUGCCUUGCAUAAUAGCACCAGCUGCAGGCUCCAAGUUACACGGACUAAAGGACAAAGCAGACCAUGAUGCUGCCGUUAUGCGACAUCCUUGUGCUCAGACGCACGUCUCCACUUGGCACAGAGUCAGUCCUUUGUUUACCCACCAAAGUUUGUUCUCAAAGACCACCCUUUCCUGGAAAGCCCACACCUACCUGCAACUACNGCUGCUUUUAGCCCCAAAAGUUCGGCAACCUGUCAGCAGCACAGUGGGACCCACAGGUGGGAUAUCCCAAACUUUAUUUAAUGCGCUGGUAUCUUGCCACACAACCGCACAUCUGGUAGGGCUCUUUCAGCCCUGCCGAAAUCAGUUUCUUAGGUUUACUGCGCUUAUGCGCAAAGCCGUCAAAAAUGGUACCCGCUGUGCUAAGCUCCCAGAAGUUGUUUCCGGUGCAGGGACAAAGGAGCUCUUGCGUGUCUGGCAGCCCAAGUUUCAGGCCAAUGUUGGCAUUCUGUCAAGAUCUGGCAUUUCCCUUUGCCACCUGGGAAGUCCCUGAGAGAGAGAACUUGCAGCUGGAUUCCCUUUAGACAUCUGUGGUGACCUGCCAUGUCCAGUUUUCUUUCAAUGUAUGCUCCCCCUUGUGCUGAAAUAUUUGGCUUGCUGUUUUCCAGGGUCAGACCAGUCUCCGCUUCUGUCUUCACCUGUGAUGCCUUUGCCUCUGUGAGCACCUCGGGCCAGGGAGAUUUGCCAAGACCCUCCGACACCGCUGUGGCGCAAAAUGGACCAGGAAAGCUAAGUCUGAACAAUUUCUUCUGCAAAAUUCUUCCAUUGUCCCUGCAAGGAAUGGAAUGUUACAUUCUAAGUUGGAAAUGGUUGAGGAAUGUGGUGAACCCGUUUGGAAGGGGACAGGUCUAAGAUCUUAGGUGGACUCGUUCCCUGCAUCGUCCCCCCCCCCCAAAAAAAAAAAGUGAGCCUCUGGAAGUUUCUAGCAUACUGCAUCAUCCUUGCCGGCAAAUGAUUGCUGGAGGUGUCAGCAGGAAGAGAAAAGUGUGGGCUCAGCUUGUAAGCCAAAGCAAACACCCAGCAAGCCGCAAGCUUGCUUAGCGAACCCAGAGCCCCUCCGAACAGCGGCCAAAAAAAGAAAACAGGCAUAAUUGCCCCUCCUGGAAUGAAAAGGCAGAAGCCAGUCGGCAGCCGUUGGCGUCUGUGGCUUGCUGCUAUGUGCUUCUGGGAGUUGGAGGAGGAACGCAGAGGCCUUUUUCCCUGCAAGGGAUUCCACACGCUUUUUUCUGGGCACGGGCCGCUCGGCUGGGUCACGAGUGGUCUUGGCCAAAACCUGGAGCUCGGAAAGGCUGGAGGCAGCUGGAGUCACCCACAAUCCAGANAGGAGAGGAAUGGGAUUUCCUUUGUGGCAUUGUCCAGUCAGUCAAGCAGACCUUGAUUGCAGAUCUGAAGUCUCACGAUUCUUAGAGAAACCCUGUGGUCACAGUGCAGAUGGGCUGGGAACUGGGGAACGGUGUUUCAUCCGGAGCUUCUACCACUUCAUUCCACACCGACUCCCUUUUUGGAGCAAUUCGGUCCAAAAGGGCUGUAGCUCUGAGACCAAAACAGCAAGCAUUCUUUUUAUUUUGAUCGUUAAACAAUAGAAAAAGAAAAACAUACCUGCAGAAAACCAUCCAGACAGUAAAAAUAAGACAGGCUGCUGAAUUAGAGCACUUUCCAUCUUUUUUAAAGGCGGGGGGGCGGGGAGAUGAUGAAACUUUUUUCCUGAGCUUUGGGGAGUAGAAAACACCCACUGCCUUUGAAUUCCAGCUGCAUUUUGGGAAAAGGUUACAUGUACAAAAGUGUUGAACAAGCAAGCAAGCCAGCUCUUGGCUGUUAAAAUAAGGUGAAAAGUCACAGAGACCCAUUGAGAUGUUAUUGUGUGGGAGAGUUAAAAGGUGUUCCCUUCCCACACCGCCCCAGCAAAAUGCAUUUUAAAAAAAUACCAGGGAGAUAACUUUGGUUUAAUAUGUGUCUAUAAAAUCUGACUCAACAGGCUUUCUGGUUCAUUUGGAAACUCCCAUACUGCAAUACGGAGAACCUGACCAGGUAAAAAUGGUUUGGAUACUGGAAAAGGUACCUAUAUUUAAACCCACAACCCCACAGAAUCUAGGGGACCCUUUCUGAAAGAAAGAAGGCUGCUGCCCCUCUGCACAAUUUGGGUUCCUUUUCCAGUCUCUUUUUCUGUGGAUCAGAUGCAACUGAACUCUUCAGUCUUUUCCAGCUCAAGGAAAAGAUGCAGCGUAUUUAAAAGUAAAUCAUUUUAUGGGCAGGGGUGCGGUUCAGAAGGAAGUGCAUUUUUUAAAUUCUUAUUAAUUUUAAACAAACAAUUUUAAACACUUGAGAGGAAAAGUUCCAAAGUCCAAACAGACAUAUAAACAAGUCAAAAUGCAAAAAAAAAAAAAAAGCCCCAAAUANAUUACGGCCAUGAUUAGCAAGCUGCUUGGAGAAAGAGAGUUCAUCUUAGCAUUAUCGGUAUGACAAAUUCAAAAGACUGGGAAUCCAAGGCGGGAAAGGGGAAGCAUCCUGCAACCCCAAAGNGUGUUUGGAUUGGAAGCAUGGAUUGAGGUGGACUCAAAAAGUUGGCAUCGGCUGCCCAUCGCUAACUCCAACUCAGUUGCACUAAACGCUUAAUAAUGUAUGCCUAAGAAUGUAAGACGUGCAUGACUGGAUCAGUCCAAGAAGGUUCCAUCCAGCAGUCUGAUGCCCCAGGAGCCAGCCAACUUCACACAGAAGCCCACAGGCAAGACACAAGCACAGCUUGCCCUGCCCACAUUCCCACUGCAGUUCACCAUCACCACGGAAGACAAGCUGACCUUUUCCAGAAAGCUAAAAGGCGCAUCACUGAGAUAAUUUCUUACCUGUUCCGCUCUCUGUUCUUCUUCCCCACAGGCCACGUUGCUUGCCACAGGAAGAAAAGGUUACGUCUCCCGGACCCCUUCCAAGCCAGCUAUCGGACCUGUACNGCAAGACAGACACACUCAGUUAUGGUAUCGCUGGAGCAGCUGACAGAGGUGAAGAUUCCGUGCUGUGUUCUGUCAUUUUUAGUACGAUACUGGUAGAGUUAUUCUUCUGUUAAACACCUUGGGCCUCCUUUGCUAAGAAAAGGAGGGACAUGGAGAUAAAUAGGCUGGCCUAGCCCACUAUAAGUUUUGGGUUCUCAUUCUUACCAGCCUUACCUGGAACGAGGUGUUCUGCCACUGAAUUGGGAAGUGAACAACACCUCUCCUGUUAUAACCCUGGAAGAGCCCUGAGGUCAUCUGGAGGUUCCACGUAAUACAGAAUGCCAUCUUAUGACAGCUCACUGCGGGACCUUCUUAGUGGUAGCACCUUCCCUUUGGAAUGCCCUCCUUUCUGCUGUACACGAGGUACCUAUUAAAGACCUAUAUUUUUACACAGGCAUUUCCUGUGGGAAUAUUUGUUUCUCCCCCCCGACCCUCUAAGUUUUUAAUGUGUUUUAACUACUGUUUUUACUCUUGUUUUUAACUCUUGUUUUUAAGGCUCCGUAAAUCACUUUGAAAUUGGUUCAAUGGAAGGUGGCAUAAAAAUAUCUUAAAUAAAUAAGUGAAUGAGUAAUUAAACA
rnacentral:lncRNA from 1 species